rnacentral:rRNA from 1 species
ACGCUCGACACCUACGGGAGGCGCAGUGGGGAAUAUUGCACAAUGGGGGAAACCCUGAUGCAGCGACGCCGCGUGAAGGAAGAAGUAUUUCGGUAUGUAAACUUCUAUCAGCAGGGAAGAAACUGACGGUACCUGACUAAGAAGCACCGGCUAAAUACGUGCCAGCAGCCGCGGUAAUCUGAGCGGGCUGGCAAGGC